rnacentral:ncRNA from 1 species
GAACGCCGUGUGAGGUGAAAGUCUCACGCACGGUGUGGAGUGGGGGAAAACCUGAAGAUGACUUCAAAAGGUUACCUAUCACUAU